rnacentral:rRNA from 1 species
UACGUAGGGUGCAAGCGUUGUCCGGAAUUAUUGGGCGUAAAGAGCGUGUAGGCGGCCCGAUUAGUCCGCUGUGAAAGUCCAGGGCUCAACCCUGGAAUGCCGGUGGAUACUGUCGGGCUAGAGUCCGGAAGGGGCGAGUGGAAUUCCUGGUGUAGCGGUGAAAUGCGCAGAUAUCAGGAGGAACACCAAUGGCGAAGGCGGCCUUCUGGACCAGCACUGACACUCAAGCACGAAAGCGUGGGGAGCAAACAGG